rnacentral:lncRNA from 1 species
AUGAAUCCACAUUGCCAGAUAAUCUGGGAUAAGCAGAUAAUUUGGGAGCAGAUCCCGGGAUGUAGCUCCUACCUAGGAAUCAUUCAGUUAUUUUCUCCAUUUUUAGUUGUCCAUUCUACCACCAUCUCCUGUAGCGGAAACCAGACUUCCCCUCUUCUCGGCUUGUGUGUCUGUGCGGACGCAGUGGAAGUAGGAGACAGACAACUGGAGGUUUUUUCCAAAGGAAGCAGUUUACUAAAAGUUUCCUGCAGCUGCAGAGGUUCAUCCCACGCACAACUAGAUGCUGAAAAGGGAGAACCCCGCAGACAGGAUUGCUGUAGACGUCGGACCAACCUUCGCCCCUGGACUUUUCCCUGGAUCCUUUUCCCUGCCUGGUUUCUUUGGAACCUCGCUGUCGUUGCGGCUCCCACCGUCGGCCGGCGUUGGCAUCAGAGGCAAGUACCGCAGCCGGUCUUACAAUAUUCAGGGGCCCCUUCUCGUCUCACGGUAGUUGCCUCUGGCCCCCACCGCCGAGUUGGGACCGUCCCGCCAACGGGAUCCGUCUCCGAUCUCCUGGUCCGUCUUAUUGUGGAAUCACGUCGGGGUCACCAGAAAAUGUAGCGGAAACCAGACUUCCCCUCUUCUCGGCUUGUGUGUCUGUGCGGACGCAGUGGAAGUAGGAGACAGACAACUGGAGGUUUUUUCCAAAGGAAGCAGUUUACUAAAAGUUUCCUGCAGCUGCAGAGGUUCAUCCCACGCACAACUAGAUGCUGAAAAGGGAGAACCCCGCAGACAGGGUCGAGUGUCUAUUUAUACAAUUCAGUGGGUUCAGUUUACGACCGCCCACAUAUCAAACCAUUGGUGCAUAUUUGUGGUGCAGUAUUACAUUUCAUUACUUUCGUUUCUCUCAAAACACAUGAUUUCAGGGAAACCAUGUGUUAACCCAUCGGCUGUGUUCCUGGCCUGCUCGUACCUCCUUAUAUGGCCAUUUCCUCCUACCCCUUCAUUCCUGCCUUACUCCUACAUGCUUUUUCUUUUCUUUAAAAAAAUACCUAUGAAGUAGUAGUACACAACAAACAUUUGAAAAAUUAUAAUAACAAAAAAUCUCUGAACUACAAACCAAGUGUCAGAUGAUUGGAUGUGUGAUAAAAUGACUUUGUCUGUAGAAUAAAAGGAAUGAGAGUAGGAUUACUUCAUUUUUCCUCUAAGGAUUUUCAAGACUUUCCAAAAAAGUGUUUCCCCAUAAUGAAUAAUCAAUGUUCAGAAAGCAUUUGCUAUCACUGUUCUUUCUCAUGUCAUUGCUGCCAAGACCCAGAAGCCCUACUGCAAAAAUGCUGCAACAGUAAUGAAUAAUGUACAUGUGAUGCUAUUCUUAUUCCCAUGCCUAGGAAUAGAAUGAAGCAAUUGCUUCCUAUCAAAUAGUAAUGGUGGUGGGGGGAAAGCACAUUUUCCUAAUACCAUCCAGUAAAGAUUUGAAAAGAAAUGUGGGAUCUACUAUGAUGCUAGAUAGGAUAGUUGGAGGUAUAUUGCAACCCAGGAUUUGGGAGAAGUUGUAACAUCUCAUUGCUCAUAUCUUAUGAACUAGGUAGGUACUAUAAUUACAGAAUAUGGAUUAGUGGCAUGCAUUCAGGUAAAAGCUUGUCCUGUUUCAUUUCCGGCUUUCGUUGUGGGGCCUGAAAUUGGGAGGGUUUUUUCAGUUGUUUUUUUUCAGGGCCCAAAAACCGGCCCGUUAUUGGGAGGGGGAACUUCCCAUCCACUGGCUCCCCUUUCUGAGGUGUUCAGCUGCCUGGCAGGCAUUGUGCUUCUUCUCUUCCUCCUCCUCCCUUCCUCCCUCGGGCCCACAAUGGCCUGCAUUCACUCACAGGAGUCGUGACCAGGCAGCCCCACAUCCAGGCCUCAGCAAACAAGCAGGAAGGAACCACCGCCCCUCU